AUUGAACGCUGGCGGCAGGCCUAACACAUGCAAGUCGAGCGGCGCGGCGGACGGGUGAGUAAUGACUAGGAAUCUGCCUGGUAGUGGCGGAUAACGUCCGGAAACGGGAGCUAAUACCGCAUAAUAUCAGAUGAGCCUCGGUCGGAUUAGCUAGUUGGUGGGGCAACGGCUUACCAAGGCGACGAUCCGUAACUGGGCUGAGAGGAUGAUCAGUCACACUGGAACUGAGACACGGUCCAGACUCCUACGGGAGGCAGCAGUGGGGAAUAUUGGACAAUGGGCGAAAGUCUGAUCCAGCCAUGCCGCGUGUGUGAAGAAGGUCUUCGGAUUGUAAAGCACUGUAGGUUGGGAGGCGUUACCAACAGAAUAAGCACCGGCUAACUUCGUGCCAGCCGCCGCGGUAAUUC
rnacentral:rRNA from 1 species